rnacentral:lncRNA from 1 species
UUUUUUCUUUUAAAGAAAAAAAAAAGUACUAACUGUUUCGUUUAUUUUAUUUGAAAAUAAAUUUAGCUGAAAAUAUGAAUCAACUAGAAUUCGAACUUGGAAUCUCGGGUACCAACCACCAAGCCCUUUGGCACUUGCUCUAGAGACGGUCGGUGCUUUCUCAACUUAUCGCUUUUAAAAACAACCCACUAAAAUUUUUACACUUUACUUUUACUUACGCGAUGUUACUAAUUGAAUUCUCGUUUCAAUUACAUAUCUUGUAUAUAGUUUUG